rnacentral:sRNA from 1 species
GGAAGCCUACACCUCAGUCCUGACUGUAGGGCAGGAAGCUUUGGAAGAGUUUUAUGGAAGAAAAUUGAUUCUUGCUGAUAGAGAAGAAGUGGAACAAGAAGCAGAUAAUAUUUUAAAGGAUGCUGAUAUCAGUGAUGUUGCAUUCCUUGUGGUUGGUGAUCCAUUUGGGGCUACAACACACAGUGAUCUUGUUCUAAGAGCAACAAAGCUGGGAAUUCCUCAUAGAGUUAUUCACAAUGCCUCCAUAAUGAAUGCUGUAGGCUGCUGUGGUUUACAGUUAUAUAAGUUUGGAGAGACCGUUUCUAUUGUUUUUUGGACAGACACUUGGAGACCAGAAAGCUUCUUUGACAAAGUGAAGAAGAACAGACAAAAUGGCAUGCACACAUUAUGUUUACUAGACAUCAAAGUAAAGGAGCAGUCUUUGGAAAAUCUAAUCAAUUACCGAGGAGACACUUUGCGUUGGCUUAGCCAGGGUUGGAGCCGACGACCAGAAAAUUGCAGCAGGCACUUUACAGCAAAUGUGUACUGUGGACUUGGGAGAACCAUUGCAUUCCUUGAUCAUCACAGGAGGCAGCAUACAUCCAAUGGAGAUGGAGAUGCUAAGUCUGUUUUCCAUACCAGAAAAUAGCUCAGAAUCUCAAAGCAUCAAUGGACUUUGAACAUAGAUAUUUACUAUUGUCUGAUGUAAAUUUCAGCCAUAUAUAGAUUGAUAUGGUUUGGCUGUAUCCCCACCCAAGUCUCAUCUUGAAUUUUAAUCCUCAUAAUUCCCAGGUGUUGUGGUAGGUAAUUGAAUCAUGGGGGCAGUUUUCCUCAUGCUAUUCUCAUGAUAGUGAGCUUUCAUGAGAUCUGAUGGUUUUAUAAGCGCCUGGCAUUUCCCCUACUGGCUCUCAUUCUCACUCUUGCCGCGCUGUAAAGAAGUGCCUUCCACCAUGAUUGUUAAGUUUCCUGAGGCCUUCCCAGCCGUGUGGAACU